CAUUAUAUUUUAAAACAAUAUGAAUAUAAUACUCUCGUUUGCUGUGAUAGCAUAUUAUACCUACGCCACCGUGUAUGGAAAUGUAUAUUUCCGUGCUAAAAAUCCAAUUAACGAGUGGUGGUCGAACACAAUAAUAUAUCAAGUCUAUCCAAGAUCGUUUAAAGACAGUAACAAUGACGGUAUUGGUGAUUUAAAAGGUAUUAUCCAGAAACUAGAUCAUUUCACUGAUCUCGGCAUUGAAACAUUAUGGGUCGGUCCACUUUUCAAAUCACCUAUGGAUGAUAUGGGAUAUGAUGUUGAAGACUUUUAUAUGAUAGAUCCUGUUUUUGGAACAAUGGAUGAUUUUGAAGAAUUAGUUUUUGAAAUGAAUAAGCGAAAUCUUAAAUUGAUGAUUGACUUCAUACCAAACCAUUCAAGUUACAAGUGCGAGUGGUUUGACAAAUCAAUUAAACAAGUAGGAAAAUAUUCUGAUUAUUACAUUUGGCGUAACGCUUCAAAUCAUGAUGAACUCAGUAACUCGUCAAUCACGCCGAAACCACCAAAUAAUUGGUUGAGUGAUUUAGGAGGUCCUGCCUGGACAUGGAAUCAACGACGAAAUCAAUUUUAUUUUCAUCAAUUUGGUAAAGAACAACCAGACUUUGAUUUGAGAAAUCCUGAUGUUAAGCUACAACUUUUAGACGUGAUGGAAUUUUGGAUGCAUAAAGGAAUUUCUGGAUUCCGAUUUGAUGCUGUGGAUUAUUUAUAUGAAAAUGUUUCACUACUCGAUGAACCGUUUUUGCCGGAAAAGAGCAAUUCCACCGAAUACAAGGAUUUAGAUCAUAUAUACACUAGAAAUCAACCAGAAAAUAUUAUUUUAAUAUUGGAAUGGAGAGCGUUUAUGGAUAAUUAUACAAGAAGCAAAAAUAAAUCAGUUUCGAGUUUAAUGGCAACAGAAGCGUAUUCCAACUUCAAUAUAUUAAUGCAAUAUUAUGGUAACUCAACGAACCCUGGAUCCCAAAUACCAUUUAACUUAGCAUUGGUAAAAAGUCAAAAAGAUGAGGAUGUAGUUGAAUCUAUUGAUACCAUAAUCAAACAUUGGUUGGCUGAUUUACCAGAAAACGCAGUGGCCAACUGGGUGAUGGAAAAUCACGACAAUUUAAGAAUAUCGUCAAAAUUUGGCGCUUUAACGGUUCCAAUGUUCAUUGCGUUGAAAUUAGCCCUUCCCGGUAUUGAAGUAACAUAUUAUGGUUUUGAAAUUGGUAUGGAGGACAAUAUGUAUUUGAGAGCAGAACAAGUAACAGAUACGAUUUUUGUGGCUACUUCGAAAUUAUCGAGAACUAGAGAUUACGAAAGGUGUCCAAUGCAAUGGGAUGAUUCGAUUAACGGAGGUUUCACUGAAAAGAAAAAGCCGUGGUUACCAGUAAAUCCAAAUUAUUAUAAGCUAAACGUCGAAUCACAGAAAAAAAUACCAAAUAGCAACUACAAUUUUUACAAAAAAAUGUCUCAACUUCGGAAAACCGAUACAUUAAAAUAUGGUGAUCUUCAAACGUAUAACGUACUAAAUCAAUAUAUAUAUUUUAAAGAGGUCAUUGUUGGAACGUGAAUCGUACAUAGUUAUAAUGAAUUUUGGAAGUGAAACUGAAACCGUCUUAUUGUCCAAUAUUAUACAUGAUGUUAAAGAUGAACUUUACGUAUACUUAGGAAGUGAAAAUUCUGCAUAUAAUACCGGAAGUAUUGUAUCAACUGUUCCUUCAACUGGUAAUCCUGUGAAACUACGACUACAAUCUGUAGUCGUAUUAACAGAUACAUAUAUUACACCCGAAACACCAACAAUUAAUAUUCAAAAUGCGGGCACACAAAUUGGUUCCACGUUCAUUAGUUUAGUCAGUGUUCUUUUACUUUUAAGAUAUUUCUUAUGAAUUUAUCUUUAAUAAAAUAAAUAUAAAUUUUAUAAAUUUUAGAUAUCAAUAACUUUGUUGUACAUUGUUUUUGUCUGGACUAUUGUGUUAUUUAAUAAAAUUCUAAUUUAUGAACCAAUGAAGACUUUUCAGCAGUUAAUUAAAAAUUGAUAAAAAAAAAAACUGUGACACUUAGCUAUUGGAGG